CCUACGGGAGGCUGCAGUGAGGAAUAUUGGUCAAUGGCCGGAAGGCUGAACCAGCCAAGCCGCGUGAAGGACGAAGGUGCCAAGCAUUGUAAACUUCUUUUGUCAAGGGACAAAAUCAGGCUCGAGAGCCUGACCGAGGGUACUUGAAGAAAAAGCAUCGGCUAACUCCGGUCCAGCAGCCGCGGUAAUAGGGAGGAUGCGAGCGUUAUCGGGAUUUAGUGGGUUUAACGGGUGGGUCGGCGGGCUGUUAAGUCAGCGGUAAAAGCCCGGGGCUCAACACCGGCGAGCCGGUGAAACUGGCUGACUUGAGAUGGCGAGAGGUAUGCGGAAUGCGCAGUGUAGCGGUGAAAUGCUUAGAUAUUGCGCAGAACUCCGAUUGCGAAGGCAGCAUACCGGCGGCGAUCUGACGCUGAGGCACGAAAGCGUGGGUAGCGAACAGGAUUAGAUACCCCUGUAGUC
rnacentral:rRNA from 1 species